rnacentral:rRNA from 1 species
UACAGAGGUCUCAAGCGUUGUUCGGAUUCAUUGGGCGUAAAGGGUGUGUAGGUGGCGCGCUAAGUCGGGUGUGAAAUUUCGGAGCUUAACUCCGAAACUGCAUUCGAUACUGCCGUGCUUGAGGACUGGAGAGGAGACUGGGAAUUUACGGUGUAGCGGUGAAAUGCGUAGAUAUCGUAAGGAAGACCAGUGGCGAAGGCGGGUCUCUGGACAGUUCCUGACGCUGAGGCACGAAGGCCAGGGGGAGCAAACGGGG